rnacentral:rRNA from 1 species
GAUGAACGCUGGCGGCGUGCCUAAUACAUGCAAGUCGAGCGCACAGACGAGGAGCUUGCUCCUCUGACGUUAGCGGCGGACGGGUGAGUAACACGUGGAUAACCUACCUAUAAGACUGGGAUAACUUCGGGAAACCGGAACUAAUACCGGAUAAUAUAUUGAACCGCAUGUUUCAAUAGUGAAAGACGGUUUUGCUGUCAAUUAUAGAUGGAUCCGCGCCGCAUUAGCUAGUUGGUAAGGUAACGGCUUACCAAGGCAACGAUGCGUAGCCGACCUGAGAGGGUGAUCGGCCACACUAGAACUGAGACACGGUCCAGACUCCUACGGGAGGCAGCAGUAGAGAAUCUUCCGCAAUGGGCGAAAGCCUGACGGAGCAACGCCGCGUGAGUGAUGAAGGUCUUCGGAUCGUAAAACUCUGUUAUUAGGGAAGAACAAAUGUGUAAGUAACUAUGCACGUCUUGACGGUACCUAAUCAGAAAGCCACGGCUAACUACGUG